rnacentral:rRNA from 1 species
AUUGAACGCUGGCGGCAUGCUUUACACAUGCAAGUCGAACGAGUGGCGAACGGGUGAGUAAUAUAUCGGAACGUCCCGUGUAAUGGGGGAUAACCAAUCGAAAGAUUGUCUAAUCCCGCAUAUUAUUCGAUCGGCCGAUAACUGAUUGGCUAGUUGGGGGGGUAAAGUCCUACCACGGCGACGCUCAGUAGCGGGUCUGAGAGGACGAUCCGCCACAAUGGGAAUGAGACACGGCCCAGACUCAUACGGGAGGCAGCAGUGGGGAAUGUUGGACAAUGGGGGCAACCCUGAUCAAGCCAUGCCGCGUGUAUGAAGAAGGCCUUCGGGUUGUAAAGUACUUUUGUUAGGGAAGCGGUACCUAAAGAAUAAGCACCGGCUAACUACGUGCCAGCAGCCGCGGUAAUAC